rnacentral:rRNA from 1 species
CCUACGGGAGGCAGCAGUCGAGGAUCUUCGGCAAUGGACGCAAGUCUGACCGAGCAACGCCGCGUGUGCGAUGAAGGCCUUCGGGUUGUAAAGCACUGUCGAGGGGAAACAAGCCGUAAGGUUGAGUGACCCCUGGAGGAAGCACGGGCUAAGUUCGUGCCAGCAGCCGCGGUAAGACGAACCGUGCAAACGUUAUUCGGAAUCACUGGGCUUAAAGGGCGCGUAGGCGGGUAAUCAAGUCAAUGGUGAAAUCCUCCAGCUUAACUGGAGAAGUGCCUUUGAUACUGGUUGUCUAGAGGGAGGUAGGGGCAUGUGGAACUUCAGGUGGAGCGGUGAAAUGCGUAGAUAUCUGAAGGAACGCCAGUGGCGAAAGCGAUGUGCUGGACCUCUUCUGACGCUGAGGCGCGAAAGCUAGGGGAUCAAACGGGAUUAGAUACCCCGGUAGUCCUAGCCCUAAACUAUGGGUACUAGAUUGUGGACUUUCAUGGUCGUACAGUCGAGANAAAGUAGUUAAGUACCCGUACCGUCGGGUAGGUAGUGGUCGCGAAGGACGUGAAACGUUAAAGUUAAGUAAGUUAGUACGGUUCGUUGUAGAGUUGCCGAACGGACGACGACGAGGGAGGAGG